rnacentral:rRNA from 1 species
AUUGAACGCUGGCGGCAGGCCUAACACAUGCAAGUCGAACGGUAGCACAAAGGAGCUUGCUCCUUGGGUGACAAGUGGCGGACGGGUGAGUAAUGUCUGGGAAACUGCCUGAUGGAGGGGGAUAACUACUGGAAACGGUAGCUAAUACCGCAUAACGUCGCAAGACCAAAGAGGGGGACCUUCGGGCCUCUUGCCAUCAGAUGUGCCCAGAUGGGAUUAGCUAGUAGGUGGGGUAAUGGCUCACCUAGGCGACGAUCCCUAGCUGGUCUGGGAGGAUAACCAGCCACACUGGAACUGAGACACGGUCCAGACUCCUACGGGAGGCAGCAGUGGGGAAUAUUGCACAAUGGGCGCAAGCCUGAUGCAGCCAUGCCGCGUGUAUGAAGAAGGCCUUCGGGUUGUAAAGUACUUUCAGCGGAGAGGAAGGUGAUACGGUUAAUAACCGUGUCAAUUGACGUUACCCGCAGAAGAAGCACCGGCUAAUUCCGUGCCAGCCGCCGCGGUAA